CACGUAGGCGGCGAAGCAAGUUGGGUGUGAAAGCCCUGGGCUCAACCCAGGAAGUGCAUUCAAAACUGCUUCGCUUGAAUCUCGGAGGGGGUCAGAGAAUUCCCGGUGUAGAGGUGAAAUUCGUAGAUAUCGGGAGGAAUACCAGUGGCGAAGGCGCUGACCUGGACGAAGAUUGACGCUGAGGUGCGAAAGCGCGGGGAGCAAACA
rnacentral:rRNA from 1 species